rnacentral:rRNA from 1 species
GAAGGACGUUACUAACAACGAUAUGCUUUGGGGAGCUGUAAGUAAGCUUUGAUCCAGAGAUUUCCGAAUGGGGAAACCCAGCAUGAGUUAUGUCAUGUUAUCGAUAUGUGAAUACAUAGCAUAUCAGAAGGCACACCCGGAGAACUGAAACAUCUUAGUACCCGGAGGAAGAGAAAGAAAAUUCGAUUCCCUUAGUAGCGGCGAGCGAAACGGGAAGAGCCCAAACCAACAAGCUUGCUUGUUGGGGUUGUAGGACACUCUAUACGGAGUUACAAAGGACGACAUUAGACGAAUCAUCUGGAAAGAUGAAUCAAAGAAGGUAAUAAUCCUGUAGUCGAAAAUGUUGUCUCUCUUGAGUGGAUCCUGAGUACGACGGAGCACGUGAAAUUCCGUCGGAAUCUGGGAGGACCAUCUCCUAAGGCUAAAUACUCUCUAGUGACCGAUAGUGAACCAGUACCGUGAGGGAAAGGUGAAAAGCACCCCGGAAGGGGAGUGAAAUAGAACCUGAAACCGUGUGCUUACAAGUAGUCAGAGCCCGUUAAUGGGUGAUGGCGUGCCUUUUGUAGAAUGAACCGGCGAGUUACGAUUUGAUGCAAGGUUAAGCAGUAAAUGUGGAGCCGUAGCGAAAGCGAGUCUGAAUAGGGCGUUUAGUAUUUGGUCGUAGACCCGAAACCAGGUGAUCUACCCUUGGUCAGGUUGAAGUUCAGGUAACACUGAAUGGAGGACCGAACCGACUUACGUUGAAAAGUGAGCGGAUGAACUGAGGGUAGCGGAGAAAUUCCAAUCGAACCUGGAGAUAGCUGGUUCUCUCCGAAAUAGCUUUAGGGCUAGCCUCAAGUGAUGAUUAUUGGAGGUAGAGCACUGUUUGGACGAGGGGCCCCUCUCGGGUUACCGAAUUCAGACAAACUCCGAAUGCCAAUUAAUUUAACUUGGGAGUCAGAACAUGGGUGAUAAGGUCCGUGUUCGAAAGGGAAACAGCCCAGACCACCAGCUAAGGUCCCAAAAUAUAUGUUAAGUGGAAAAGGAUGUGGCGUUGCCCAGACAACUAGGAUGUUGGCUUAGAAGCAGCCAUCAUUUAAAGAGUGCGUAAUAGCUCACUAGUCGAGUGACACUGCGCCGAAAAUGUACCGGGGCUAAACAUAUUACCGAAGCUGUGGAUUGUCCUUUGGACAAUGGUAGGAGAGCGUUCUAAGGGCGUUGAAGCAUGAUCGUAAGGACAUGUGGAGCGCUUAGAAGUGAGAAUGCCGGUGUGAGUAGCGAAAGACGGGUGAGAAUCCCGUCCACCGAUUGACUAAGGUUUCCAGAGGAAGGCUCGUCCGCUCUGGGUUAGUCGGGUCCUAAGCUGAGGCCGACAGGCGUAGGCGAUGGAUAACAGGUUGAUAUUCCUGUACCACCUAUAAUCGUUUUAAUCGAUGGGGGGACGCAGUAGGAUAGGCGAAGCGUGCGAUUGGAUUGCACGUCUAAGCAGUAAGGCUGAGUAUUAGGCAAAUCCGGUACUCGUUAAGGCUGAGCUGUGAUGGGGAGAAGACAUU